GUCUAUUAUGGAGUUAUUUAUAGUCUGGCCUGCUCCCUGACUAUAAGUUAAAGAGCCGCGGUAAUUUGACCGUGCAAAGGUAGCAUAAUCAUUAGUUUCUUAAUUGGAAACUUGUAUGAAAGGUCUGACAAAGAAAAAGCUGUCUUUAUUAUAAAAGUUGAAUUUAACUUUUAAGUGAAAAGGCUUAAAUGAUUUAGAGGGACGAUAAGACCCUAUAAAGCUUUAUAUAAGAAUAAUCAGAAUUGAAUUUACAAUAAAAAUUUAAAUUAAUUAUUAUAUUUUAUUGGGGUGAUAUUAAUAAAAAUAAUAUUAACUGUUAAAAUAAAAUACGUGAAUAAAAGAGUUAAAUUGUUAAUGAUCCUUAUUUAAAGAUUAAAAGAUUAAGUUACUUUAGGGAUAACAGCGUAAUUUUUCUUGAGAGUUCAUAUCGAAAGAAAAGAUUUUGACCUCGAUGUUGAAUUAAAAUAUCUGUGUAAAGCAGCCAUUACAUAAGAAGGUCUGUUCGACCUUUAAAUUUUUACAUGAUUUGAGUUCAGACCGGCGUGAGC
rnacentral:rRNA from 1 species